rnacentral:rRNA from 1 species
AGUGAACGCUGGCGGUAGGCCUAACACAUGCAAGUCGAACGGCAGCACAGUAAGAGCUUGCUCUUACGGGUGGCGAGUGGCGGACGGGUGAGGAAUACAUCGGAAUCUACUUUUUCGUGGGGGAUAACGUAGGGAAACUUACGCUAAUACCGCAUACGACCUACGGGUGAAAGCAGGGGAUCUUCGGACCUUGCGCGAGUGAAUGAGCCGAUGUCGGAUUAGCUAGUUGGCGGGGUAAAGGCCCACCAAGGCGACGAUCCGUAGCUGGUCUGAGAGGAUGAUCAGCCACACUGGAACUGAGACACGGUCCAGACUCCUACGGGAGGCAGCAGUGGGGAAUAUUGGACAAUGGGCGCAAGCCUGAUCCAGCCAUACCGCGUGGGUGAAGAAGGCCUUCGGGCUGUAAAGCCCUUUUGUUGGGAAAGAAAAGCAGCAGGUUAAUACCCCGCUGUUCUGACGGUACCCAAAGAAUAAGCACCGGCUAACUUCGUG